rnacentral:sRNA from 1 species
AUGAGUGAGGGUAAUCAGCUUGUGAUACCUCUCAGCCCAUUGAUCACCAGGAUUGAUUUGAUUGAUCUAGAUGGCUAGGCAGGUGCCUCUUCCUCCCUCACCACCCUGACUGCAUCCCUUCCUAAGCUGUGUGGUUGGUAAAAAAGAAAGACCUUCCCUAAUAGGGGAGAGCUGGUCUUUGUCAAGGGUAUAUGAGUGGCUGCACCCCUGCUAGAACCUCCAAGUAAGCUCUCAACAUUUGAUUUGCACUUCUUCGCCUUAACUAGGUAGUUCAUUUUG